rnacentral:rRNA from 1 species
GAUGAACGCUGGCGGCGUGCCUAAUACAUGCCAGUCGAGCGAACGGACGAGAAGCUUGCUUCUCUGAUGUUAGCGGCGGACGGGUGAGUAACACGUGGAUAACCUACCUAUAAGACUGGGAUAACUUCGGGAAACAGGAGCUAAUACCGGAUAAUAUUUUGAACCGCAUGGUUCAAAAGUGAAAGACGGUCUUGCUGUCACUUAUAGAUGGAUCCGCGCUGCAUUAGCUAGUUGGUAAGGUAACGGCUUACCAAGGCAACGAUGCAUAGCCGACCUGAGAGGGUGAUCGGCCACACUGGAACUGAGACACGGUCCAGACUCCUACGGGAGGCAGCAGUAGGGAAUCUUCCGCAAUGGGCGAAAGCCUGACGGAGCAACGCCGCGUGAGUGAUGAAGGUCUUCGGAUCGUAAAACUCUGUUAUUAGGGAAGAACAUAUGUGUAAGUAACUGUGCACAUCUUGACGGUACCUAAUCAGAAAGCCACGGCUAACUACGUG